rnacentral:rRNA from 1 species
GGAUCAGUGCGCCGGUCGUGCCUUCGGUAUGUACUGGUGUUACUGGUUCCUACCUUCUGACGAACCGUCAUGUCAUUAAUUUGGUGUGGCGGGGAAUCAGGACUGUUACUUUGAAAAAAUUAGAGUGUUUAAAACAGGCAUUUUGCUUGAAUACAUUAGCAUGGAAUAACGGAAUAGGAC